rnacentral:tRNA from 1 species
CGCGGCGUAGCUCAAUAGGAUAGAGCGCCUUGCUUCGACAUACUGAACUGAGUGGAAUCUGUAUGGUAUGGGCAAGGGGGUUGUAGGUUCAAGUCCUACCGCCGUUU